GAUGAACGCUGGCGGCGUGCCUAAUACAUGCAAGUCGAACGCUGGAGCUCUAGCUUGCUAGAUCGAAGGAGUGGCGAACGGGUGGGUAAUACAUAAGCAACCUACCCACGAAGACUGGGAUAAUCUCUGGAAACGGGGACUAAUACCGGAUAGGUAAUCGGAAGGCAUCUUCUGGUUAUUAAAGGUUAAAAACACUGGUGGAUGGGCUUAUGGCGCAUUAGUUAGUUGGAGAGGUAACGGCCCACCAAGACGAUGAUGCGUAGCCGGCCUGAGAGGGUGAACGGCCACAUUGGGACUGAGACACGGCCCAGACUCCUACGGGAGGCAGCAGUAGGGAAUUUUCGGCAAUGGGGGCAACCCUGACCGAGCAACGCCGCGUGAGUGAAGACGGCCUUCGGGUUGUAAAGCUCUGUUGUAAGGGAAGAACGGUAGAUAGAGAAUAUCUAAGUGACGGUACCUUACCAGAAAGCCACGGCUAACUACGUG
rnacentral:rRNA from 1 species